CGGUCAGCAAGUGAAAGAUACUCCUGUAAUCCAAAAUCCACCAUAAGCUUACAAUUCAAUAUAAUAUACUGUGGGCAGGGCUACGCACUGUGCUGAGAAGCGAUCCUGACAAUUUUGU